rnacentral:rRNA from 1 species
CCUACGGGGGGCAGCAGUGAGGAAUAUUGGUCAAUGGACGAGAGUCUGAACCAGCCAAGUAGCGUGAAGGAUGACUGCCCUAUGGGUUGUAAACUUCUUUUAUAUGGGAAUAAAAUGUUCCACGUGUGGGAUUUUGUAUGUACCAUAUGAAUAAGGAGCGGCUAACUCCGUGCCAGCAGCCGCGGUAAUACGGAGGAUCCGAGCGUUAUCCGGAUUUAUUGGGUUUAAAGGGAGCGUAGGUGGAUUGUUAAGUCAGUUGUGAAAGUUUUCGGCUCAACCGUAAAAUUGCAGUUGAAACUGGCAGUCUUGCUUACAGUAGUGGUGGGCGGCAUUCGUGGUGUCGCGGUUCACUGCUUCGCUAUCCC